UACGGGGGGAGCAAGCGUUGUUCGGAUUUACUGGGCGUAAAGGGCGCGUAGGCGGUCAGCACAAGUCAGUUGUGAAAUCUCCGGGCUUAACUCGGAAAGGUCAACUGAUACUGUGCGACUAGAGUGCGGAAGGGGCAACUGGAAUUCUCGGUGUAGCGGUGAAAUGCGUAGACAUCGAGAGGAACACCUGCGGCGAAGGCGGGUUGCUGGGCCGACACUGACGCUGAUGCGCGAAAGCCAGGGGAGCGAACGGG
rnacentral:rRNA from 1 species